rnacentral:rRNA from 1 species
CCUACGGGAGGCAGCAGUGAGGAAUAUUGGUCAAUGGACGCAAGUCUGAACCAGCCAUGCCGCGUGAAGGAUGACGGCCCUAUGAGUUGUAAACUGCUUUUGUACGAGGGUAAAGGCAGACACGCGUGACUGUCUGAAAGUACUGUACGAAUAAGGAUCGGCUAACUCCGUGCCAGCAGCCGCGGUAAUACGGAGGAUUCAAGCGUUAUCCGGAUUUAUUGGGUUUAAAGGGAGCGUAGGUGGUUGGAUAAGUUAGUGGUGAAAUCCCGAGGCUCAACUUCGAAAUUGCCAUUGAUACUGUUAGUCUAGAGAAUAGUUGCGGUAGGCGGAAUUUAUGGUGUAGCGGUGAAAUGCUUAGAGAUCAUAAAGAACACCGAUUGCGAAGGCAGCUUACCAAGCUACUUCUGACGUUGAGGCACGAAAGCGUGGGGAGCAAACAGGAUUAGAUACCCUUGUAGUC